GACGAACGCUGGCGGCGUGCUUAACACAUGCAAGUCGAACGGUGAAGCGCCUUCCUUUUUGGUGGGUGUGUAUGAGUGGCGAACUGGUUAGUAACACGUGAGUAACCUGCUCCCUUCUUCUGGAUAACCGCAUGAAAGUGUUGCUAAUACGGGAUAUUCUGGGUCUGUCGCAUGAUUGGUCUGGGAAAGAUUUUGUUUCGGUUGUGGAUGGGCUCGCGGCCUAUCAGCUUGUUGGUGGGGUGAUGGCCUACCAAGGCGGUGACGGGUAGCCGGCCUGAGAGGAUGGACGAUCAUAGAAGGAAGAAGAGAUGGCGAAGCCUACGACGGGAGGCAGCAGUGGAUAAUAUUGCACGAUGGGAGGAAGGAUGAUGCAGCGACGCCGGGGGAAGGAUGGAGGCCUUAGGGUAGUGAACUGCUUUCGCGAGUGAAGAAGGGUUGACUUGUUUGUGCGUGGGUUGACGGUAGCUGGAUAAAAAGCGACGGCUAACUACGUG
rnacentral:rRNA from 1 species